ACUACGGGUGGCAGCAGUGGGGAAUAUUGGACAAUGGGCGAAAGCCUGAUCCAGCCAUGCCGCGUGUGUGAAGAAGGCCUUCGGGUUGUAAAGCACUUUCAGUGGGGAAGAAAGCCUUGGGGCUAAUACCCUCGAGGAAGGACAUCACCCACAGAAGAAGCACCGGCUAACUCCGUGCCAGCAGCCGCGGUAAUACGGAGGGUGCGAGCGUUAAUCGGAAUUACUGGGCGUAAAGCGCGCGUAGGCGGUCUGAUAAGCCGGUUGUGAAAGCCCCGGGCUCAACCUGGGAACGGCAUCCGGAACUGUCAGGCUAGAGUGCAGGAGAGGAAGGUAGAAUUCCCGGUGUAGCGGUGAAAUGCGUAGAGAUCGGGAGGAAUACCAGUGGCGAAGGCGGCCUUCUGAACUGACACUGACGCUGAGGUGCGAAAGCGUGGGUAGCAAACAGGAUUAGAUACCCUAGUAGUC
rnacentral:rRNA from 1 species